rnacentral:rRNA from 1 species
CAGUCGCCGCGGUAAUACGUAGGUGGCAAGCGUUGUCCGGAAUUAUUGGGCGUAAAGGGCUCGCAGGCGGUUUCUUAAGUCUGAUGUGAAAGCCCCCGGCUCAACCGGGGAGGGUCAUUGGAAACUGGGAAACUUGAGUGCAGAAGAGGAGAGUGGAAUUCCACGUGUAGCGGUGAAAUGCGUAGAGAUGUGGAGGAACACCAGUGGCGAAGGCGACUCUCUGGUCUGUAACUGACGCUGAGGAGCGAAAGCGUGGGGAGCGAACGGGAUUAGAUACCCCUGUAGUCCCUGUCUCUUAUAU